GUUUGUAAGCUCAAAAGCUUCCGUUGUAGCUCAGGGGUGGGUGUAUGUUUGUUGCUGUGUGUGACGUGUUUGAUCUCAUUGAUAAGGGCUAAGUAUUGUGCUUUUUGUGUCUUGUAGGCAUGGCUGGCGUGCUUUAUGAAGCUGCCUCUAAUGACCGCCUUGUGGGCUAGCCAGACAUAGUCCGGGUCAGUGUUCUGCUUAUCAUUGUCCUCAAAGUAGUUUUGUAGGUCCUGUGUGACUUCCU